rnacentral:rRNA from 1 species
CAGUAGCCGCGGUAAAACGAAGGGUGCAAGCGUUACUCGGAAUUACUGGGCGUAAAGCGUGCGUAGGUGGUGGUUUAAGUCCGUUGUGAAAGCCCUGGGCUCAAUCUGGGAAUUGCAGUGGAUACUGGGUCACUAGAGUGUGGUAGAGGAUAGUGGAAUUUCCGGUGUAGCAGUGAAAUGCGUAGAGAUCGGAAGGAACAUCUGUGGCGAAGGCGACUAUCUGGGCCAACACUGACACUGAGGCACGAAAGCGUGGGGAGCAAACAGGAUUAGAUACCCCUGUAGUCCCUGUCUCUUAUAC